rnacentral:rRNA from 1 species
GAAGGGACCUAGCGUAGUUCGGAAUUACUGGGCUUAANNNGUUCGUAGGUGGUUGAAAAAGUUAGUGGUGAAAUCCCAGAGCUUAACUCUGGACCUGCCAUUAAACCUUUUCAGCUAGAGUAUGAUAGAGGAAUUCCGAAUUUCUAGUGUAGAGGUGAAAUUCGUAGAUAUUAGAAAGCAUACCAAUCGCGNNNNNNGCUUUCUGGAUCAUUAUCGACAC